AAAUAGCUCAAUGGUACAGGUGCCCGCAAGGGCUUCAUAGAGAAGCCGGUGUAAGACCGGCGCGGUCCCGCCACUGUAAUGGGGAGCAAUGCCAAGAUAGGCCACUGGGAGGAAACUCCUGGGAAGGUUUGGCGGCGCGAAGAACCAGAGCCAGGAGAACUGCCUGUACAACAAUCACCGUU
rnacentral:ncRNA from 13 species